CACGUAGGGCGCAAGCGUUGUCCGGAAUUAUUGGGCGUAAAGAGCUCGUAGGCGGUCUGUUGCGUCCGCUGUGAAAACUCGGGGCUUAACCCCGAGCCUGCAGUGGAUACGGGCAGACUAGAGGUAGGUAGGGGAGAAUGGAAUUCUCGGUGUAGCGGUGAAAUGCGUAGAUAUCGAGAGGAACACCUGCGGCGAAGGCGGGUUGCUGGGCUGACACUGACGCUGAUGCGCGAAGCCAGGGAGCAAACGGG
rnacentral:rRNA from 1 species